ensembl:miRNA
AUCACCUGGGGAUCUUGUUAAAUGAGAUUCUGGUUCGGUAGGAAUGGGGCCUGAGAUUCUGCAUUUCUAACAAGUUCUCAGGUGAUGCCACU